UACGUAGGGGGCAAGCGUUGUCCGGAAUCAUUGGGCGUAAAGAGCGCGUAGGCGGCCCAGUCAGUCCGCUCUGAAAGUCAGGGGCUUAACCCCUGAAUGCGGGUGGAUACUGCUGGGCUAGAGUCCGGAAGAGGCGAGUGGAAUUCCUGGUGUAGCGGUGAAAUGCGCAGAUAUCAGGAGGGACACCGGUGGCGAAGGCGGCCCUCUGGACGGUGACUGACGCUGAGACGCGAAAGCGUGGGGAGCAAACAGG
rnacentral:rRNA from 1 species